UACGUAGGGUGCAAGCGUUAAUCGGAAUUACUGGGCGUAAAGCGUGCGCAGGCGGUUGUGUAAGACAGAUGUGAAAUCCCCGGGCUCAACCUGGGAACUGCAUUUGUGACUGCACGGCUGGAGUGCGGCAGAGGGGGAUGGAAUUCCGCGUGUAGCAGUGAAAUGCGUAGAUAUGCGGAGGGACACCGAUGGCGAAGGCAAUCCCCUGGGCCUGCACUGACGCUCACGCACGAAAGCGUGGGGAGCAAACAGG
rnacentral:rRNA from 1 species